UGGAGAGAAAGCUCAGUCAGUAGAACAUGAGACUCUUCAUUUCAGGGUCAUGGGUUCAAAUCCCACAUUGGGCAAAA